rnacentral:rRNA from 11 species
AUCUGAAAUCAGGUGGGACUACCC